rnacentral:tRNA from 4 species
GGACCCAUGGUGUAAUGGUUAGCACUCUGGACUUUGAAUCCAGCAAUCCAAGUUCAAAUCUCGGUGGGACCU